UACGUAGGGCGCAAGCGUUGUCCGGAAUUAUUGGGCGUAAAGAGCUCGUAGGCGGCUUGUCACGUCGAUUGUGAAAGCCCGAGGCUUAACCUCGGGUCUGCAGUCGAUACGGGCUAGCUAGAGUGUGGUAGGGGAGAUCGGAAUUCCCGGUGUAGCGGUGAAAUGCGCAGAUAUCGGGAAGAACACCCGUGGCGAAGGCGGUUCUCUGGGACGGUACUGACGCUGAGACGCGAAAGCGUGGGGAGCGAACAGG
rnacentral:rRNA from 1 species